rnacentral:rRNA from 1 species
UACGGGGGGGCAAGCGUUGUUCGGAAUUACUGGCGUAAAGGGCUCGUAGGCGGCCAACUAAGUCAGACGUGAAAUCCCUCGGCUUAACCGGGGAACUGCGUCUGAUACUGGAUGGCUUGAGUUCGGGAGAGGGAUGCGGAAUUCCAGGUGUAGCGGUGAAAUGCGUAGAUAUCUGGAGGAACACCGGUGGCGAAGGCGGCGAUCCUGGACCGACACUGACGCUGAGGAGCGAAAGCCAGGGAGCAAACGGGG